CGAGAAAGCCCGCAAGGGUGAGUAAAGCGGCGCACGGGUGCGUAACACGUGGGUAAUCUGCCCUGGAGCCCGGAACAACUCGCCGAAAGGCGAGCUAAUGCCGGAUGAGACCACGGGGGCUUCGGCCCCUGAGGGAAAAGGUGGCCUCUGUACACAAGCUAUCACUUCAGGAUGAGCCCGCGGCCCAUCAGCUAGUUGGCGGGGUAAUGGCCCACCAAGGCGACGACGGGUAGCUGGUCUGAGGGGACGAUCAGCCACACUGGAACUGAGACACGGUCCAGACUCCUACGGGAGGCAGCAGUGGGGAAUCUUGCGCAAUGGGCGAAAGCCUGACGCAGCAACGCCGCGUGUGUGAUGAAGGUCUUCGGAUCGUAAAGCACUGUCGCGAGGGACG
rnacentral:rRNA from 1 species